rnacentral:lncRNA from 1 species
CUUUUCCAUAGCUAAAGAUUCAGCCUGGGGGAUCACCUGCCUAGCAGCAGUGUGCCAGUACUCCAGUAGUGCUCAUGGCACCAGGAGAUUGAAAAAAUAUUAAAAAGAGGUUAGCAGGAAGAACUAAGGAGAACAUAGCCUCAGCAACUUCUUUCUGUGUUGCUCUUUGUGGAUUCUUGGGGUAUGUCUGUGUCCCCUGAAGCUGUAAUAUCUAAGCACUUCCUAGUCAUUAAUAUGGUGAGUGCAUCUUCUCCAUAGCCUUGGAGAGAGAGUUUUCUCUCUCCAUCAUUUCUGUCUUAGAGAUGAAAACUGGAGCAGCAAAGGAAAGGUUUUGCUCAUGGCCAUGCAGAAAAGCCUAUGGCAGAGUCAAGAAAUGAAUCCUCAUAACUCAAAAUCUGCUAUAUCAGAUCAUAGCUGGAAGAAAAUCCUUGCCUUUGGCCUGUCUGGGAUGUAACACUUUCAGUUUCUGAAGGAUCUGGAAGAAAUUACAGGAGUGACAGUUGUGAGAGGGACGUACUCCAGAUUGGCGGGGCUGGUUUGUGCUUUGUUACCACAUUGCCUCCUCCUAGCAGAAUGGAUGUGCUGGUGGCAUUCCCGGAUUUCUCGAGCUCUCAUGCUAACUCUGAGUCAGCUUUGACCUGGCUGGGUGCCCACCUGCAUAAUUCCAGAUGUGACCAUGGAGAGUGCACAGGGCAAACAACCCUAGGGAAGAAGGUCUUGCUGGCUUGAUGUCUAAAAACAAAAUAAAAAUCAAGUAAAAUUCCUCGAGUCUAAGUCU